GACGAACGCUGGCGGCGUGCUUAACACAUGCAAGUCGAACGGAAAGGCCUGCUUUCCCUUGUGGAUUGCGGGUACUCGAGUGGCGAACGGGUGAGUAACACGUGAGUGAUCUGCCCCCAACUUGGGUAUAAGCCUGGGAAACUGGGUCUAAUUCCCGAUAGGACUGCAGGGUGGUGCCUGUGGUGGAAAACGAUUUUCUAGUGGUUGGGGAUGAGCUCGCGGCCUAUCAGCUUGUUGGUGGGGUAAUGGCCUACCAAGGCGGCGACGGGUAGCCGGCCUGAGAGGGUGGACGGCCACAUUGGGACUGAGAUACGGCCCAGACUCCUACGGGAGGCAGCAGUGGGGAAUAUUGCACAAUGCGCGGAAGCCUGAUGCAGCGACGCCGCGUGGGGGAUGACGGCCUUCGGGUUGUAAACUCCUUUCGACCGCGAGGAAGCCACCUGGUUGGAAGGGUGGUGACGGUAGUGGUAGAAGAAGCACCGGCUAACUACGUG
rnacentral:rRNA from 1 species